GGGUAUUUAGCUCAGUGGUAUAAGCAGCUGCUUGGCAAGCAUGAGGUCGUGAGUUCGAUUCCCAGUACCCC
rnacentral:tRNA from 1 species